rnacentral:rRNA from 1 species
GAUGAUAGAGAGCUUGCUUUCUUGAUUAGUGGCGCACGGGUGAGUAAUGCAUAGAUAAUGUGCCCCUUAGUUCGGGAUAGCCACUGGAAACGGUGAUUAAUACCGGAUACUCCUUCUUGUUAUAAGACAAGUCGGGAAAGUUUUUCGCUAAGGGAUCAGUCUAUGUUCCAUCAGCUUGUUGGUGAGGUAAUGGCUCACCAAGGCUAUGACGGAUAUCUGGUUUGAGAGGAUGAUCAGACACACUGGAACUGAGACACGGUCCAGACUCCUACGGGAGGCAGCAGUGAGGAAUAUUGCACAAUGGAGGAAACUCUGAUGCAGCAACGCCGCGUGGAGGAUGACGCAUUUCGGUGUGUAAACUCCUUUUAUUAGGGAAGAUAAUGACGGUACCUAAUGAAUAAGCACCGGCUAACUCCGUGCCAGCAGCCGCGGUAAUACGGAGGGUGCAAGCGUUACUCGGAAUCACUGGGCGUAAAGGGUGCGUAGGCUGGCUUUUAAGUCAGAUGUGAAAUCCAAUGGCUCAACCAUUGAACUGCAUUUGAAACUGAAAGCCUAGAGUUCAGAAGGGGCAGAUGGAAUUAGUGGUGUAGGGGUAAAAUCCGUAGAUAUCACUAGGAAUAUCAAAAGCGAAGGCGAUCUGCUGGGAUGAUACUGACGCUGA